AAUGAACGCUGGCGGCAGGCCUAACACAUGCAAGUCGAGCGGACCUACCGGGGUCAGCGGCGGACGGGUGAGUCACGCGUGGGAAUAUGCCCUUCUCUAUGGCAUAGUUCUGGGAAACUGGGGGUAACACCGUACACGCCCUUUGGGGGAAAGAUUUAUCGGGGCAGUAUUUGCGCGCGUUGGAUUCGGUGGUUGGUAGGGUAAUGGCCUAACAAGCCGACGAUCCAUAGCUGGUUAGAGAGAAUGGUCAGCGACACUGAGACUAAGACACGGCCGAGACUCCUACGGGAGGCAGCAAUGGGUGAUCUUGGACAAUGGGGGCAGCCCUGAACUAGCCAUGCCGGGUAAGUGAUGUAGGCCGUAAAGAAGUAAAGCGCUUGCAGCUAUGAAGAUAAUGACGGUACCUACAGAAGAAGCCCCGGCUAACUCCGUG
rnacentral:rRNA from 1 species